AGUUAGUGGUGCGACGACUAGGAGCAUUCUAUCAUCCGAAAAAUUGUGUACGUUGAACAAGCAGAUUUUCUGGAUCGCCACAGAGCUUUCUGUUCUCGACUUGUGGUUUGGGAGAUUCACGUCCCUUCAAUUUGUGACUGUUAAACAAGUUAUUUGUCUCUCUUUCAUCGAUUUUAUUUGGAACGCAAUUUCAAGUCGAUUCACUUCAAAAAAGAAGAAAAAAAGCAAAAUCUCGAUCGCUCACCCACGGACUACUUUAUCGUAUUCCAUCACAUUCAAUUACCAGGGCGUUGCCGUAAUCUAUCCAAAUUGGCUCAAAACUUUUCCUCCCAACUAUCACUUUUACUCACGUCAGUGAAUGAUCCUAAAUUUCCUUUCUCAAUCAAGUGUAAUACCUUAAGUGUUAAGAGAUAAUAAUAAAAUAAAUAAUUGGUCCAUCG
rnacentral:lncRNA from 1 species